GCCAGAUGCAGUGGUGCAUGCCUGUAGUCCCAGCUACUUGGGAGGCUGAGACAGAAGGAUCGCUUGAGUCUAGGAGUUCUGGGCUGUAGUGCGCUAUGCCAAUCAGGUGUCCACACUAAGUUUGGUAUCAAUAUGGUGACCUCCUGGGAGCAGGGGGGCCACUGGGUUGCCUAAGGAGGGUGAACUGUCCCAGGUCAGAAACGGAGCAAGUCAUAACUCCCAUGCUGAUCAGUAGUGGGAUCAAGCCUAUGAAUAGCCACUACACUCCAGCCUGGGCAACAUAGCAAGACCCCAUCUCUU
rfam:Otolemur garnettii contig096338, whole genome shotgun sequence.